UGUAAGCGUUAAUCUCGUUCUCAGCGCUCGGAAAGUAUUCUAUUGGUUUGUUGCAGGGCGUCCGUGUCAUUGAAGGAUUCAGUCCCAGUUUAAAUGCUUUAAAUCCUUCAAACAGUUUGUAUUUUUUGCACCGCCAGUACACAGAAGCGUUUUAUAACGAUCUUUAUUGAUAAAUCUAUAUGUGGCCAUUGUUUAUUGCGUUUUGAAGAGCACUCGCUUCGUCUUUCCAACAAGACGCGUAGGUUCGGCGCUCCGAUUUGCAUUUAAGCUGUCAUCUUCUCGGAAGCAGGCGCUCAUGCUUGGAGACCUGCAGAGCACGAACUGCAGCAUGCAUGCCGAAAUAAACAGCUAUUGCCUAUUUCAAAUCGAACCAAUGUAAGGCAAGGCCCCUUUUUUGCUGUACUGUGCUUGCAAAUUGCAAAGCAAUGAUAAGACACAAUGUAGAAAGAAACAUUUUCUUUUAUUUGGAAAACAUUAGAGUGGCAUCAAAAAAAAAUAUUGAGCAGCGCCAAGUCAGUCACUACACUAAGCAGCUCCACUGCAAUUCACAUGACCUAGGAAUCCCAGCCAUACAACCGAAUGAUUAUUCGUAUAAGUGACGAUCAAGAUCAUUCUUCACUUGAAUGCCACGGAGCGCUGUUCAGUAACAGCAGUCAGUU
rnacentral:lncRNA from 1 species